AAUUCCUCAGCUUUAUUUGUAUCUUCUUUUUUUGGCAGGUUUCCAACAAAUGCAUGACACUUAGCUUGGUGGAGUUGACUCUUGACUGGUAACAGCUAAAGACUCUACAAUACGAGAUAGUGAACCUCUUACUGGGUUCAAGGCAUUGAGAAAACAAGAGAGAUCUACAUGAAAGUCAGCCAGGACGGCCUCAAUAAACCUGGAUUUGAGUUCUGAUAUUGCUGAUGACCUGUACUAUAGACAUGAACAGGCUCUUCUCACAAUAUCUGGGAUACCGGCUCCUUGUGGCUUCUGUGAACAUGGG